rnacentral:rRNA from 1 species
AUGUCUUCCCAGAGAGGAAACAACGCCAACUUGCUACAACUUCACGCUGGAUACAUCACUGCAUGCCCAACGCGGAUUCAUCAUGUAGCCGGCCUCGAAACGCAAGUGCUGUGCUGGAUGACCUUGAUUGAUACAAAUCAACCGACGGCGGCAGCGAAGCAAAACAGUGACGAGAGAUGGUUGCCUGCACGGACUGCCUGCGAGGGAGGCGACGAACUUGUGCAGAGGUGGUUGGGGGAGGUUGACGGUUGGUGGUUUGCGAGCAGAGCUCGGGAGGGAGGGCGUCACCGCGGUGGAUCCAGGGGGGAGGUUGUCCGCCGCCCCCACUGCCGUGGAUCCGAGGGAGUCCGCCGCCACUGUGGAUCCAGGGGGAGGUAG